rnacentral:rRNA from 1 species
UAGACUAGGAUUAGAUACCCUAUUAUUUUAUAUGUUAAAUUUUUACCUGGGUAAUAAUAGUUAUGUUCUUUAAACCUAAAGAAUUUGGCGGUGUUUUAGUCUAUUUAGAGGAAUUUGUCCCUUGAUCGAUAAUCCUCGUUUUAUCUUACUUAAUUUUGUUAUCAGUAUGUAUACCGCUGUUAUAAGUUUAUUUUUUUAGAAUUAUUUACUUAUUUUAUUAUUUUAAUUUAUUUCA